UACGAAGGGUGCAAGCGUUACUCGGAAUUACUGGGCGUAAAGCGUGCGUAGGUGGUUCGUUAAGUCUGAUGUGAAAGCCCUGGGCUCAACCUGGGAAUGGCAUUGGAAACUGGCGACCUAGAGUGUGGUAGAGGGUAGUGGAAUUCCCGGUGUAGCAGUGAAAUGCGUAGAGAUCGGGAGGAACAUCCAUGGCGAAGGCAGCUACCUGGACCAACACUGACACUGAGGCACGAAAGCGUGGGGAGCAAACAG
rnacentral:rRNA from 1 species